UGCUCCCGUUGGUUAGCGGCGGACGGGUGAGUAACACGUGGGCAACCUGCCUGUAAGACUGGGAUAACUUCGGGAAACCGGAGCUAAUACCGGAUAAUUCUUUUCCUCUCAUGAGGGAAAGCUGAAAGUCGGUUUCGGCUGACACUUACAGAUGGGCCCGCGGCGCAUUAGCUAGUUGGUGAGGUAACGGCUCACCAAGGCGACGAUGCGUAGCCGACCUGAGAGGGUGAUCGGCCACACUGGGACUGAGACACGGCCCAGACUUCUACGGGAAGCAGCAGUAGGGAAUUUUCCACAAUGGACGAAAGUCUGAUGGAGCAACGCCGCGUGAGCGAUGGAGGCCUUCGGGUCGUAAAGCUCUGUUGGUAGGGAAGAACAAGUAUCGGAGUAACUGCCGGUACCUUGACGGUACCUAACCAGAAAGCCACGGCUAACUACGUGCCAGCAGCCGCGGUAAUACGUAGGUUGCAAGCGUUGUCCGGAAUUAUUGGGCGUAAAGCGCGCGCAGGCGGUCCUUUAAGUCUGAUGUGAAAGCCCACGGCUCAACCGUGGAGGGUCAUUGGAAACUGGGGGACUUGAGUGCAGAAGAGGAAAGCGGAAUUCCACGUGUAGCGGUGAAAUGCGUAGAGAUUUGGAAGAAACACCAGUGGGCGAAGGCGGCUUUUCUGGUCUGUAACUGACGCUGAGGCGCGAAAGCGUGGGGGAGCAAAACAGGAUUAGAUACCCUGGUAGUCCACGCCGUAAACGAUGAGUGCUAAGUGUUAGAGGGUUUCCGCCCUUUAGUGCUGCAGCUAACGCAU
rnacentral:rRNA from 1 species